rnacentral:rRNA from 1 species
AGCAGGUCCCAAGGGUUGGGCUGUUCGCCCAUUAAAGCGGUACGCGAGCUGGGUUCAGAACGUCGUGAGACAGUUCGGUCCCUAUCUUCUACAUCCGAAGGAACUUUGAGGGAUGCUGUCUUUAGUACGAGAGGACCGAGACGGACGUAGCUCUGGUGUGCCAGUUGUACCGCCAGGUGCAUGGCUGGUUAGCCACCUACGGAAGGGAUAAACGCUGAAAGCAUCUAAGUGUGAAACCCGUCCCAAGAUAAGAGUUCCCAUGCGGUUAACGCAGUAAGGCCCGUGGCGAGACCACCACGUUGAUAGGCCGGAAGUGGAAGCGCGGCGACGCGCGGAGCUGACCGGUACUAAUCGGCCGAGGGCUUGGAU